AUGCCAGACUUAUCAAUUUUUAGCUACUCUAGGUUGGGGAGUAGGGCCAGGGGGGAAGUUCUAGAUACUUUUUCGUACUUUGUAUCUGGCGUACUUCACCUAAUUUCCUCAGCAAUCUUAGGCUUCGAUGGCAUUUAUCACGCGCUUCUGGGACCCGAGACUCUUGAGGAAUCUUUUCCAUUCUUUGGUUAUGUCUGGAAAGAUAGAAAUAAAAUGACUACAAUUUUGGGUAUUCACUUAAUUUUGUUAGGUCUAGGUGCCUUUUCUUCUAGUACUCAAGGCUCUUUAUUUUGGCGGUGUAUAUGAUACCUGGCCCCGGGGGGGGGGGGGAGAUGUAAGAAAAAUUACCAAUUUGACCCUUAGUCCCAGUGUUAUAUUUGGUUAUUUACUAAAAUCUCCUUUUGGUGGAGAAGGGUGGAUUGUUAGUGUAGAUGAUUUAGAAGAUAUAAUUGGUGGGCAUGUAUGGUUGGGUUUUAUUUGUGUAUUUGGCGGAAUUUGGUAUAUUUUAACCAAACCCUUCGCAUGGGCUCGUCGUGCAUUUGUAUGGUCUGGAGAAGCUUACUUGUCUUAUAGUUUAGCUGCUUUAUCUGUGUUUGGUUUUAUCGCUUGUUGUUUUGUAUGGUUCAAUAAUACAGCUUAUCCGAGUGAGUUUUAUGGACCCACCGGGCCAGAAGCUUCUCAAGCUCAAGCAUUUACUUUUCUAGUUAGAGACCAGCGUCUUGGAGCUAAUGUGGGAUCCGCUCAAGGACCCACAGGUUUAGGUAAAUAUCUAAUGCGUUCCCCAACUGGGGAGGUUAUCUUUGGAGGGGAAACUAUGCGUUUUUGGGACCUUCGUGCUCCAUGGUUAGAACCUCUAAGGGGCCCCAACGGUUUGGACUUGAGUAGGUUGAAAAAAGACAUACAACCUUGGCAAGAACGACGCUCAGCAGAAUAUAUGACCCACGCUCCUUUAGGCUCUUUAAAUUCCGUGGGUGGCGUAGCUACCGAGAUCAAUGCAGUUAAUUAUGUCUCUCCUAGAAGUUGGUUAUCAACUUCUCAUUUUGUUCUAGGAUUCUUCUUUUUGUGGGCCAUUUAUGGCAUGCAGGAAGAGCCCGAGCUGCUGCAGCAGGUUUUGAAAAGGGAAUCGAUCGUGAUUUGGAACCUGUUCUUUACAUGAACCCUCUUAACUAAGAUUUUCUUAUUUAUACCUGUUCUACUUUUUUUCUGUUCUGGCUCGGUUAUUCCAUCUAGCCGAGCCAUUCAUUCCUUUUUAUGAAAGAAAGAUAAGGGACAGAAAAAAAAAAAAUGAAAGAAACAAACGUAUUCAAUAAGCAAAAGGAGAGAGAGGGAUUCGAACCCUCGAUAGUUCCUAGAACUAUACCGGUUUUCAAGACCGGAGCUAUCAACCACUCAGCCAUCUCUCCACAGCCUAAUCCUUAUUUUACUCCUACAAAUAGAACAUAGCCAUAUAAAAAAUAAAAAGAUUUAUUAGCCUCUAGAAAGAUAUCAGAUACAAGUUCCUUUUCGAUAUAUCUCUGUAUACUGUAUACACGGAUACAGGAUCCGCUAUACCCGCUUGUGAAAUAAAGAGUAAAUAAUCUCUUCUCACCCCCAUAUCCAAAUAAAAAAGCGGUUUAAGUAAUAAAUUUGAAUUAAAGAGAAGAAUCAAUGGAUUCAUGAUUAAACCCCUCCUACUUCUUGUAUUUUUUUACAAUUUUGGUUAAGUGAGGGAUCAAAUAUGUAGUCAACUUUAUUUGAUGGUAGCUUGGAGGAUUAGAAAUAUGACUAUUGCUUUCCAAUUAGCUGUUUUUGCAUUAAUUGCGACUUCCUCAGUCUUAGUAAUUAGUGUACCCCUUGUAUUUGCUUCUCCUGAUGGUUGGUCAAAUAAUAAAAAUGUUGUAUUUUCUGGUACAUCAUUAUGGAUUGGACUAGUCUUUCUCGUAGCUAUUCUGAAUUCUCUCAUUUCUUAAAUUAAAUUUGGUUAAUAUUUAUUAACCCCAUAAAAAAGAAAUAAUAAAGGCCAUUUCUUCUAAAAAAUUAGAAUAGUGAGACGUAUUAAAACGCAAUUUGCGUUCCGAAUUGCUAGCUCUUCUCUUUCAGUAUUAUGAAAUUCCAUUCCCAUUAGAAUAUUCAUUGACAGAUAAUAAAAAAAGGAAAACUCUAAUAUAAUAGAAAAUGAAAUGAAACGGUCGACCCAGACAUAGAAGGUCGACCCAGGCGGAUAUACGCUAUAAAAUAUAUACCG